ANNGGGCGANCCUGAUGCAGCAACGCCGCGUGCGGGAUGACGGCCUUCGGGUUGUAAACCGCUUUCAGCUCCGACGAAGCGCAAGUGACGGUAGGAGCAGAAGAAGGACCGGCCAACUACGUGCCAGCAGCCGCGGUGAUACGUAGGGUCCGAGCGUUGUCCGGAAUUAUUGGGCGUAAAGGGCUUGUAGGCGGUUUGUCACGUCGGAAGUGAAAACUCAGGGCUUAACCCUGAGCCUGCUUCCGAUACGGGCAAACUAGAGGAAUGCAGGGGAGAAUGGAAUUCCUGGUGGAGCGGUGGAAUGCGCAGAUAUCAGGAGGAACACCAGUGGCGAAGGCGGUUCUCUGGGCAUUUCCUGACGCUGAGAAGCGAAAGCGUGGGGAGCAAACAGGCUUAGAUACCCUGGUAGUCCACGCCGUAAACGGUGGGCACUAGGUGUGGGACUCAUUCCACGAGUUCCGUGCCGUAGCUAACGCAUUAAGUGCCCCGCCUGGGGAGUACGGCCGCAAGGCUAAAACUCAAAGGAAUUGACGGGGGCCCGCACAAGCGGCGGAGCAUGCGGAUUAAUUCGAUGCAACGCGAAGAACCUUACCUGGGUUUGACAUAUGCCGGAAAGCUGCAGAGAUGUAGCCCCCGCAAGGUCGGUAUACAGGUGGUGCAUGGCUGUCGUCAGCUCGUGUCGUGAGAUGUUGGGUUAAGUCCCGCAACGAGCGCAACCCUCGUCCUAUGUUGCCAGCGGAUAAUGCCGGGGACUCAUAGGAGACUGCCGGGGUCAACUCGGAGGAAGGUGGGGAUGACGUCAAGUCAUCAUGCCCCUUAAGUCCAGGGCUUCACGCAUGCUACAAUGGCUGGUACAAAGGGCUGCAAUACCGCAAGGUUGAGCGAAUCCCAAAAAGCCAGUC
rnacentral:rRNA from 1 species